rnacentral:rRNA from 1 species
GAGAGUUUGAUCCUGGCUCAGAACGAACGCUGGCGGCGCGCUUAACACAUGCAAGUCGAACGAGAAGGCGUAGUAAUACGCUUGUACAGUGGCGAACGGGUGAGGAAUACGUGGGUGACCUACCCUCGAGUGGGGAAUAACCAGCCGAAAGGUUGGCUAAUGCCGCGUACGCUUCCAUCCUUGCGGGGGUGGAAGGAAAGCUGUACCGUGGGUACAGCGCUCAAGGAUGGGCUCACGUCCUAUCAGCUUGUUGGUGGGGUAACGGCCUACCAAGGCAACGACGGGUAGCUGGUCUGAGAGGACGAUCAGCCACACUGGCACUGCGACACGGGCCAGACUCCUACGGGAGGCAGCAGUGAGGAAUAUUGCGCAAUGGGCGAAAGCCUGA